rnacentral:rRNA from 1 species
AUGAAUUAAGAUCUGCGCUCUUAUGAAGUUAGCGGCGGACGAGUGAGGAACACGUGUCUGACCUGCCCAUAAGACUGGGAUAACUCCGGGAAACCGGGGCUAAUACCGGAUAACAUUUUGAACCGGAUGGAUCUAAAUUGAAAGGCGGCUUCGACUGUCCCUUAUGGAUGGACCCGCGUCGCAAUAUCUAGGUGGUGAGGUAACGGCUCACCAAGGUGACGAUGCAUAACCAACCUGAGAGGGUGAUCGGACACACUGGGACUGAGACUCGGCCCAGACUCCUACGGGAGGCAUGAAUAGGGAAUCUUCCGCAGUGGACGAAAGUCUGACGGAGCAACGCCGCGUGAGUGAUGAAGGCUUUCGGGUCGUAAAACUCUGUUGUUAGGGAAGAACAAGUGCUAGUUGAAUAAGCUGGCACCUUGACGGUACCUAACCAGAUCGCCACGGCUAACUACGUGCCAGCAGCCGCGGUAAUACUUAUGUGACUUGCGUUAUCCGGAAUUAUUGGACGUAAAGCGCGCGCAUGUGGUUUCUUAACUCUGAUGUGAAAUGCCACGGGUCACCCGUGGAGGGUCAUUGGAAACUGGGAGACUUGAGUGCAAAUUACGAAAGUGCAAUUCCAUGUGUAGAGAUGAAAUGCGUAAAGAUAUGGAGGAACACCAGUGUCGAAUGCGACUGUCUGUGCUGUGACUGACACUGAGGCGCGAAAGCGUGUAGAGCAAACGGGAUUACAUACCCUGAUAGACCACGCCGUACACGAUGAGUGCUUGAUGUUAUAGGGUUUCCGCCCUUUAGUGCUGACGUUAACCGCAUUAAGCACUCCGCCUGGGGAGUACCGUCCGCUGGGCUGAAACUCAACGGAAUUGACGGGGGCCCGCACAAGCUGAUGUAGCAUGUAGCUUUAAU